GGUGAGGAGAGUAUCCUAAGGCCAGCGAGAGAACUGUUGUUAAGGAACUCGGCAAAAUGACCCCGUAACUUAGGGAUAAGGGGUGCCACCAUCAGGUGGCCGCAGAGAAUAGGCCCAAGCGACUGUUUACCAAAAACAUAGGUUUCUGCUAAGUCGCAAGACGAUGUAUAGGAGCUGACGCCUGCCCGGUGCUGGAAGGUUAAGGGGAUCUGUUAGAGCAAUCGAAGCAGUGAACUUAAGCCCCAGUAAACGGCGGCCGUAACUAUAACGGUCCUAAGGUAGCGAAAUUCCUUGUCGGGUAAGUUCCGACCCGCACGAAAGGCGUAACGAUUUGGGCACUGUCUCAACAACAGACUCGGUGAAAUUGUAAUUCCGGUGAAGAUGCCGGAUACCUGCGACAGGACGGAAAGACCCCAUGGAGCUUUACUGUAGCUUGACAUUGGGUCUUGGUACUACAUGUACAGGAUAGGUGGGAGGCUUUGAAACCAGGACGCCAGUUUUGGCGGAGCCAUCCUUGGGAUACCACCCUUGUAGUACUGGGACUCUAACCAUAGGCCAUGAAUCUGGUCUUGGGACACUGUCAGGUGGGCAGUUUGACUGGGGCGGUCGCCUCCCAAAAGGUAACGGAGGCGCUCAAAGGUUCUCUCAGUACGGUCGGAAAUCGUACGUAGAGUGUAAAGGCAAAAGAGAGCUUGAUUGCAAGACAUACAGGUCGAGCAAGGAUGAAAAUCGGACUUAGUGAUCCGGUGGUUCUGCGUGGAAGGGCCAUCGCUCAACGGAUAAAAGCUACCCUGGGGAUAACAGGCUUAUCUCCCCCAAGAGUCCACAUCGACGGGGAGGUUUGGCACCUCGAUGUCGGCUCAUCACAUCCUGGGGCUGUAGUAGGUCCCAAGGGUUGGGCUGUUCGCCCAUUAAAGUGGUACGCGAGCUGGGUUCAGAACGUCGUGAGACAGUUCGGUCCCUAUCCGUCGCA
rnacentral:rRNA from 1 species